rnacentral:rRNA from 1 species
UACAGAGGGUGCGAGCGUUAAUCGGAAUUACUGGGCGUAAAGCGCACGUAGGCGGUUUCUUAAGUCGGGGGUGAAAUCCUGGAGCUCAACUCCAGAACUGCCUUCGAUACUGGGAAACUUGAGUCCGGGAGAGGUGAGUGGAACUGCGAGUGUAGAGGUGAAAUUCGUAGAUAUUCGGAAGAACACCAGUGGCGAAGGCGACUCGCUGGACAAGUAUUGACGCUGAGGUGCGAAAGCGUGGGGAGCAAACAGG